UAGCAUAUCAAUAAGCGGAGGAAAAGAAACCAACAGGGAAUUGCCCUAGUAACCGGCGAGUGAAGCGGCAACAGCUCAAAUUUUGAAAUUCUGGCCCUCGGGUCCGAGUUGUAAUUUUGUAGAGGAUGCUUUUGGUGCGGUGCCUUCCGAGUUCCCUGGAACGGGACGCCAUAGAGGGUGAGAGCCCCGUCUGGUCGGAUACCAAUCCUCUGUAAAGCUCCUUCGACGAGUCGAGUAGUUUGGGAAUGCUGCUCUAAAUGGGAGGUAUAUGUCUUCUAAAGCUAAAUACCGGCCAGAGACCGAUAGCGCACAAGUAGAGUGAUCGAAAGAUGAAAAGCACUUUGAAAAGAGGGUUAAACAGUACGUGAAAUUGUUGAAAGGGAAGCGCUUGUGACCAGACUUGGGCCCGGUUAAUCAUCCAGUGUUCUCACUGGUGCACUUGGCCGGCCCAGGCCAGCAUCAGUUCGGCGCGGGGGAUAAAGGCUUCGGGAAUGUGGCUCCCCCGGGAGUGUUAUAGCCCGUUGCGCAAUACCCUGCGCUGGACUGAGGUUCGCGCAUCUGCAAGGAUGCUGGCGUAAUGGUCAUCAGCGACCCGUCUUGAAACACGGACCAAGGAGUCGUCUUCGUAUGCGAGUGUUCGGGUGUCAAACCCCUACGCGUAAUGAAAGUGAACGCAGGUGAGAGCUUCGGCGCAUCAUCGACCGAUCCUGAUGUUCUCGGAUGGAUUUGAGUAAGAGCAUACGGGGCCGGACCCGAAAGAAGGUGAACUAUGCCUGUAUAGGGUGAAGCCAGAGGANNGACUCUUNNUGGAGNCUCGCAGCNNUUCUNACGUNAAANUU
rnacentral:rRNA from 1 species